rnacentral:misc_RNA from 1 species
AUAGACUCCAAUUUAAAGGAAAAAGAUUGAAAAAUAGAAAAGCACACGUAAAGGAACCAAUUCGAAUUUCAAACCAAAUACAUUUUGAUCUCACGGCGUCUCACAUUUACUUCUUUCACGACUUUGGACAUGGGAGAGCCUGUGCUGUGAAUGCCAAUGUUCUUCAAUUAUUACCCAACAUUAAUUGACAAGCAACAGGAGGGAUUCCCUGCCCACCAAGGAGCCUCUUGCUAUUCUUAUGGUUUGGCAUUCAAAAAUUUGAAGCGGAGGGAAAAAAAGCAGAGGCGUAUAGCUAGCAAAACACUGCUUUGAGAAAAGAAGGAACUGAAAAAAAAAAAAA